CCUACGGGUGGCAGCAGUGAGGAAUAUUGGUCAAUGGACGCAAGUCUGAACCAGCCAUGCCGCGUGCAGGAUGACGGCUCUAUGAGUUGUAAACUUCUUUUGUACGAGGGUAAACCCCGAUACGUGUCUCGGGUUGAAAGUACCGUACGAAUAAGGAUCGGCUAACUCCGUGCCAGCAGCCGCGGUAAUUCGGAGGAUCCGAGCGUUAUCCGGAUUUCUUGGGUUUAAAGGGUGCGUAGGCGGUUUGAUAAGUUAGAGGUGAAAGGUCGGGGCUCAACCCCGGAACUGCCUUUAAUACUGUGGGACUAGAGAAUAGUUGCGGUAGGGGGAAUGUAUGGUGUAGCGGUGAAAUGCUUAGAGAUAAUGCAGAACAUCGAUUGCGAAGGCAGCUUGCCAAACUAUAUCUGACGUUGAGGCACGAAAGCGUGGGUAGCAAACAGGAUUAGAUACCCGGGUAGUC
rnacentral:rRNA from 1 species